rnacentral:rRNA from 1 species
UAAGUUCCUUGGAACAGGACGUCAUAGAGGGUGAGAAUCCCGUAUGUGAUGGGUUGCGCGAGCCAUGUGAAACUCCUUCGACGAGUCGAGUUGUUUGGGAAUGCAGCUCUAAAUGGGAGGUAAAUUUCUUCUAAAGCUAAAUACCGGCCAGAGACCGAUAGCGCACAAGUAGAGUGAUCGAAAGAUGAAAAGCACUUUGGAAAGAGAGUUAAAAAGUACGUGAAAUUGUUGAAAGGGAAGCGCUUGCAACCAGACUUGCUCGCAGUUGCUCAACCCGCCUCCUGGUGGGUGUACUCUUCUGCGGUCAGGCCAGCAUCAGUUCGAGCGGUCGGAUAAAGGCGCCGGGAAUGUAGCUCCUCUCGGGGAGUGUUAUAGCCCGGCGUGGAAUGCGACCUGCUCGGACUGAGGAUCUCGCUUCGGCUAGGAUGCUGGCGUAAUGGUUGUAAGCGGCCCGUCUUGAAACACGGACCAAGGAGUCUAACAUCUAUGCGAGUGUUUGGGUGUCAAACCCAUGCGCGUAAUGAAAGUGAACGGAGGUGGGAACCCGCAAGGGCGCACCAUCGACCGAUCCUGAUGUCUUCGGAUGGAUUUGAGUAUGAGCAUAGCUGUUGGGACCCGAAAGAUGGUGAACUAUGCCUGAAUAGGGUGAAGUCAGAGGAAACUCUGAUGGAGGCUCUCAGCGGUUCUGACGUGCAAAUCGAUCGUCAAAUUUGGGUAUA